GAUGAACGCUGGCGGCGUGCCUAAUACAUGCAAGUCGAGCGAACGGACGAGAAGCUUGCUUCUCUGAUGUUAGCGGCGGACGGGUGAGUAACACGUGGAUAACCUACCUAUAAGACUGGGAUAACUUCGGGAAACCGGAGCUAAUACCGGAUAAUAUUUUGAACCGCAUGGUUCAAAAGUGAAAGACGGUCUUGCUGUCACUUAUAGAUGGAUCCGCGCUGCAUUAGCUAGUUGGUAAGGUAACGGCUUACCAAGGCAACGAUGCAUAGCCGACCUGAGAGGGUGAUCGGCCACACUGGAACUGAGACACGGUCCAGACUCCUACGGGAGGCAGCAGUAGGGAAUCUUCCGCAAUGGGCGAAAGCCUGACGGAGCAACGCCGCGUGAGUGAUGAAGGUCUUCGGAUCGUAAAACUCUGUUAUUAGGGAAGAACUUAUGUGUAAGUAACUGUGCACAUCUUGACGGUACCGAAGCAGAAAGCCACGGCUAACUACGG
rnacentral:rRNA from 1 species